UCCAACUUGAGAGUUUGAUCCUGGCUCAGAGCGAACGCUGGCGGCAGGCUUAACACAUGCAAGUCGAGCGGGCAUAGCAAUAUGUCAGCGGCAGACGGGUGAGUAACGCGUGGGAACGUACCUUUUGGUUCGGAACAACACAGGGAAACUUGUGCUAAUACCGGAUAAGCCCUU
rnacentral:rRNA from 1 species